rnacentral:rRNA from 1 species
UGGGGAAUCUUGGACAAUGGGGGCAACCCUGAUCCAGCCAUGCCGCGUGAGUGAUGAAGGCCUUAGGGUCGUAAAGCUCUUUCGCCUGUGAAGAUAAUGACGGUAGCAGGUAAAGAAACCCCGGCUAACUCCGUGCCAGCAGCCGCGGUAAUACGGAGGGGGUUAGCGUUGUUCGGAAUUACUGGGCGUAAAGCGCACGUAGGCGGACCAGAAAGUUGGGGGUGAAAUCCCGGGGGCUCAACCCCGGAACUGCCUCCAAAACUAUUGGUCUAGAGUUCGAGAGAGGUGAGUGGAAUUCCAAGUGUAGAGGUGAAAUUCGUAGAUAUUUGGAGGAACACCAGUGGCGAAGGCGGCUCACUGGCUCGAUACUGACGCUGAGGUGCGAAAAGUGUGGGGAGCAAAACAGGAUUAGAUACCCCUGGUAGUCCACACCGUAAAACGAUGAAUGCCAGUCGUCGGGUAGCAUGCUAUUCGGUGACACACCUAAC